ACAUUUAUCUGUUGUACUUUAUUAUUUUCGUGUACAUUAACUUGCGUAUGUCGUGAAUUCUGUUUGGGUAUUCAUUUAUCUACAGUGCAGAAAAUGUGAUAUGACGGUUUAAUCAUAUGGCGAACCACGGCCUCAGUCCGGUUACCAGUCCAUGUCGGGUAGUUGACCAGUUAUUCGUUUCAGAUGCGUUGACUUGGUGAAGGAAGAUGUAUCCGACGGUGGCGAGUAGUCCAACUAUCACAUGAUUAUCCUCUCUGGAUUUGGGCCCGCUUGUGUAAUCAGGUAAGAACGUGUUUCCAAUAAUAAGCACGAUGCGUCGACCGCGAGCUGACAGAGUUAGGGCUGAAGAACCUCCAGUCGGAGUUGAGGUGCGGUAUUAGUGAUUUUCACAUUUCGUACAGCGAAUCGGACUAAACAGCGGAAAGGAAGAAGGAAAAAAAUGAUCUUUGCUAUUGUUACAGCUGGCCGGUGAUCGCGACUGUUCAAUGAGAAUGAACAGCCUCAAAAACGAAGAAAUGGGGAAGAGAACCUGGUAUCUGGUCGUGCAGCGCACGUCGCGGUUGACGAGGACUCAAGAAAGAAAUAAAGAAACUGAUAUAAGGCAGUUGCUGAUUGUCGCGACUGAUGGACGUAAAUGAAAAGGCAUAUCAAGAAGAGUUGAAGCAGCUUUUUCGUUCCAUUGAAGGCAUUACGCAAGGUCGAAGUAAUGGAAGCCGCUAGGAAUCUGUUGUAGUUAGCUACAAUUAGUGAUUUAUAUUUUAAGGACCAUGAUUGUGCAGACAAGGGACGUGGAGGCGAAUCUUUGCCGCACUACAACAUUCAGAACAAUUUUACAAAAAUAACCUACACAGAAGAAAGAAUUGACUUAAUCUUCAAUACGGAAGAAGAACCGGUGCUUCAGAUUAAAGUGAUUUUUGUAUUUUUCAUUGUAUAUGUUUUCUUGUAUAUUCUUUUGAUUAACUGAAUCUCAUGUGGUCAACAGUCGCGUCAGG